rfam:Triticum aestivum genome assembly, contig: Triticum_aestivum_CS42_TGACv1_scaffold_030469_1BL
AAAGUACUUCCUCCAUCCCAAAAUUCUUUUCUUAGAUUUUUAUAGAUACGGAUGUAUCAAGUCACAUUUUAGAAUUAGAUACAUCCAUAUCUAGACAAAUCUAAGACAAGAACUUUGGGACAGAGGGAGUAGUUG